GAUGAAGAACGCAGCGAAUUGCGAUAAGUAAUGUGAAUUGCAGAUUUUCAGUGAAUCAUCGAAUCUUUGAACGCACCUUGCGCCCUCUGGUAUUCCGGAGGGCAUGCCUGUUUGAGUGUCAUGAACACCUCACCCCCUCGGGUUUCCGAUCGGGUGGAUUUGGGCGUUGCCAGUCACAUGGCUCGCCUUAAAUGCAUUAGCGAAUGUUGACGUAAUAAGUUUCGUCUGACCAUCCGCUGCGAAUCUCCUUCGGGAUGUCCCUCGGACACUUCAUGAUCUGACCUCAAAUCAGGUAGGACUACCCGCUGAACUUAAGCAUAUCAAUAAGCGGAGGA
rnacentral:misc_RNA from 1 species